CCUACGGGAGGCAGCAGUGGGGAAUAUUGGACAAUGGGCGCAAGCCUGAUCCAGCAAUGCCGCGUGAGUGAUGAAGGCCUUAGGGUCGUAAAGCUCUUUUACCAGGGAUGAUAAUGACAGUACCUGGAGAAUAAGUUCCGGCUAACUCCGUGCCAGCAGCCGCGGUAAUACGGAGGGAGCUAGCGUUGUUCGGAAUUACUGGGCGUAAAGCGUACGUAGGCGGUUAUUCAAGUCAGAGGUGAAAGCCCGGGGCUCAACCCCGGAACGGCCUUUGAAACUAGGUAGCUAGAAUCUUGGAGAGGUCAGUGGAAUUCCGAGUGUAGAGGUGAAAUUCGUAGAUAUUCGGAAGAACACCAGUGGCGAAGGCGACUGACUGGACAAGUAUUGACGCUGAGGUACGAAAGCGUGGGGAGCAAACAGGAUUAGAUACCCUGGUAGUCCACGCCGUAAACGAUGAUAACUAGCUGUUCGGGCACUUGGUGCUUGAGUGACGCAGCUAACGCAUUAAGUUAUCCGCCUGGGGAUACGGUCGCAAGAUUAAAACUCAAAUGAAAUUGAAGGCUGAGAGUGCGAGACGACGACGAGGAGAGG
rnacentral:rRNA from 1 species